rnacentral:rRNA from 1 species
UACGUAGGUGGCAAGCGUUGUCCGGAUUUAUUGGGUUUAAAGGGCGCGUAGGCGGCCUUGUCAGUCAGACGUGAAAUCCCCAGGCUUAACUUGGGAACUGCGUCUGAUACUACAAGGCUGGAGUUCGGGAGAGGGAUGCAGAAUUCCAGGUGUAGCGGUGAAAUGCGUAGAUAUCUGGAGGAAUACCGGUGGCGAAGGCGGCAUCCUGGACCGAUAUUGACACUGAUGAGCGAAAGCUAGGGGAGCAAACGGG